AUGCUCUACUAGGGGGGUCCGACAGCUCGGACUGAGAGAAGAAUGCGUAAAAUUCUUUGACCCUUUGAACCUGAUCUGGAUGAUACCAGCGUAGGGAAGUAGUAAUGAAGGCGU
rnacentral:ncRNA from 2 species